GACAGAGGGUGCAAACGUUGUUCGGAAUUACUGGGCGUAAAGCGUGUGUAGGCGGCCACGUAAGUCGGAUGUGAAAGCCCCGGGCUCAACCCGGGAAGUGCACUCGAUACUGCGUGGCUUGAGUACUGGAGAGGUUGGUGGAAUUCUCGGUGUAGAGGUGAAAUUCGUAGAUAUCGAGAGGAACACCGGUGGCGAAGGCGGCCAACUGGACAGAUACUGACGCUGAGACACGAAAGCGUGGGGAGCGAACAGG
rnacentral:rRNA from 1 species